UUGCAGUUAAAAAGCUCGUAGUUGAAUUUCUGGUACAACGCACCUGGCCCGCAGCCAUUAGGCUUGUGUGCGCUGGAGUGCGUUUACCAUCCUUCUAGAAAACGGGUCUGCCAUUAACUUGGUGGGUUCGCGAUCUAGAUCAUUUACUUUGAAAAAAUUAGAGUGUUUAAAGCAAGCAAUUGCUAUGAAUACAUUAGCAUGGAAUAAUAAUCUAGGACUUCGGUUCUAUUUUGUUGGUUUCUAAAACUGAAGUAAUGAUUGAUAGGGACAGUUGGGGGUGCUAGUAUUGGCCGGCCAGAGGUGAAAUUCUUGGAUUCGGUCAAGACUAACUUAUGCGAAAGCAUUCACCAAGGAUGUCUUCUUUAAUCAAGAACGAAAGUUGGGGGAUCGAAGACGAUCAGAUACCGUCGUAGUCUCAACCAUAAACUAUGCCAACUAGGGAUGGGUGAACGUUGCUUUUUCGACUUCAUCCGCACCUUAUGAGAAAUCAAAGUCUUUGGGUUCCGGGGGGAGUAUGGUCGCAAGGCUGAAACUUAAAGGAAUUGACGGAAGGGCACCACCA
rnacentral:rRNA from 1 species